UGGGGAAUUUUUGCGCAAUGGGCGAAAGCCUGACGCAGCAACGCCGCGUGGGUGAAGAAGGCUCUUGGGUCGUAAAGCCCUUUUCCGGGGGAAGAGAACAGACGGUACUCCGGGAAUAAGCACCGGCUAACUCCGUGCCAGCAGCCGCGGUAAUACGGAGGGUGCAAGCGUUGUUCGGAUUUACUGGGCGUAAAGGGCGUGUAGGCGGAUGUGAAAGCUGGGGGUGAAAGGCCAGGGCUCAACCCGGGACGAUCUCCCAGAACUACGCAUCUAGAGGGAGUCAGAGGCAGGUGGAAUUCCUGGUGUAGAGGUGAAAUUCGUAGAGAUCAGGAGGAACACCGGCGGCGAAGGCGGCCUGCUGGGACUCAUCUGACGCUGAGGCGCGAAAGCGUGGGGAGCAAACAGGAUUAGAUACCCUGGUAGUCCACGCUGUAAACGAUGAGCACUAGAUGUGCGAGGUUUACGACCCCUCGCGUGUCGCAGCUAACGCAUUAAGUGCUCCGCCUGGGGACUACGGUCGCAAGACUA
rnacentral:rRNA from 1 species